GGCACAGCGCUGAGGGGACGGGGCCGGCCUGAGGUGAGGCCUACAGGCCGCACUGAAGCCUGGGGAGGCUCCUAUGUCACCACCACAGCCAGACCUGCCUCCUGCACACGGGCUGCCAAUGAGUUGGGGCUCUGUCUGCGCCCCUCAGUUCUGCACACCCGGCUCAGCUGCAGGAAGGAGACAAGCCGCCAGCCCAGAGAUCCCUGCCAGAUUGUGGUCACAACAGCAGCAAAGCCACGCUCCCAAACCAGGAAGGAGGGAAGCAGAUUUGGGUGCUCAUACUGGCAGCACUGGUUUGUGCAAGGAAAGCUGCCUCCUUUGAGGAGGAGAGACAGUGCAGUUGUGUCUGUCGUGGCUUACGAAGUCUAUACGUCGACUUCAUUUUAAAAUCAGUAUCUUCCCCGUGUUUAAAUAUCUGCCAGCGCUAAACUUCUAUACUUAAAAAAAUAUAUAUCCCAUAUGUGGAUUUCACUAGUGAAAUGCACCGAGACCCACCCCGGCCCCUGCCCUUCUCUCUUGCACGCGCACACCAACACACACACAGAGCAGCUCUAUCCAAUACUGGUUUGGUACUUAAGAUGUUUUCUCCAAUACUGAGAGGGAAAAAUACACGAGCACAAUCAACCUCAGCUAAGUAGCUCAGCAACACCUCCCAAAAGCGAAGGUCCUUGGAGCUGGAAGACUAGGUGGAUAAAAACUACCCACCGGAACAAAAACAUUAAAAAAAUUAAAAACUAUAUAAUAUAUAUUUAUAUAUCUCAACAGACUGCUUAUACCUCAGUUGUGUGAAGCACAAAAACACGCACGCUGCCGCUGCUUUUUCCUCUCAGAUUGUGAAGCCAAUCACAACAAGGUGGGACGCACUCCCUCUCUUCAUCCCCCAAUGCUGCAUGCUGCACGGUGCAUCUCAGACCAGGGACAGGGCUGUGGAUGAGCGAGUGUCUUCCUCCAGUAAGAACAAAGACAUCAUUUUUAUUUACAAAAAAAGGAGAAAAAAGUUUCCACACAAAAGCACUACAAUGAUAACUCCCUUUGGUAAAAAGUGUAAUAAAUGUCCUCAUAGGUCUGUCUGUCGGUACUAAUUCUCAAGCCACCUGGUACUAUGGUACACAAGAAGCUAGUACAGUUAUGCUAGCACAUCAAGCAUACUUCCUUUAAUUAAAAAAAAAAAAAACAAAAAAUUGACA